GACGAACGCUGGCGGCGUGCCUAAUACAUGCAAGUAGAACGCAGUUGCGAACGGGUGAGUAACGCGUAGGUAACUGCCUCAUAGCGGGGGAUAACUAUUGGAAACGAUAGCUAAUACCGCAUAAUGUGAGAUGGACCUGCGUUGUAUUAGCUAGUUGGUGAGGUAAAGGCUCACCAAGGCGACGAAAGAUACCCGACCUGCGAGGGGGAUCCACCCCCCUGGGACUGAGACACGGCCCAGACUCCUACCUAAUACAACAAUAUUAAAUCUUCAUCAAUUGACGGAAGUCUGACCCAUCAACGCCGCGUGAGUGAAGAAUUUUUUCGGAUCCUAAAUCUCUGUUGUUAGAGACGCGGUAACUAACCAGAAAGGGACGGCUAACUACGUGCCAGCAGCCGCGGUAAUUC
rnacentral:rRNA from 1 species